GGUUAAGAAACUUUGUCUCGAUUAUGUCAUUUCGUUAGCUCGUUUAAUAGACUUCGAAGGAAUGUUUAUUUCCGUCGAGCACGCUACAGUCGCUCUCGAAUCACGAGUUCACCUUGCACGCUUAGUCCUCACUUCGUUCACGAAUUUCCUUCCACGAUUUUAUCGACGUAGAGAAAGAAUUGAAAAUUUCACGAAGCACGCUCGAGGAUUGUGUCUCGUCUCGCCGAACGUUUACACGCGCAAAGCUCUCGCAGUCGCGAAUACGAGUAAGCCGAACGCGAGGGACUCGUGUGGACUCACCAAAUGUCAGGGAGUUUAUAGGCGCCGAUGAACGCGUACGGGAUCAGAGAGCGAGAAGAAAGAAUAAAAACGUACGAUGCGAGCAAGGUCAGCAAGUGGAUUAUUGAAGAGAUACGUAAAGGUGCGUGUGUAUCGAGGAAUGAAAAAUCAUUCAAAACGUGUUUAUAUUUAUCGCGAAGCAUCGUCCAACGUCGGACACGUGUGCGCGCGCGCGCGCGCGGAACGUUUUUCCGUUGGAAUUGUACGAGCGAGUGUAAACAUCAUAUUUAAAACUUAUUACCGCGGAAAGUGUAGGAUCAAGGUCAUGCCUCGAGGUAGUAACCGAGCCGUUUUGUCGUGCGAAAAAGUGCAGCCAUAAAAAAGCGCGAAAAAAGAAACGGGAACGGGUGAAAUCGUCGGAGCACUUCGUUCAGCUCGAAUAAAUACCGAACUCGUAUAAUCGAGCGUAAAAUCGAUUGUGAAAUAUUGGAAAAGAGGAGGAGAGGUCGACGGAAAAAAUAAUCCCUCGACAAUGAUCCAAUUUUCGGGCUCUUUGUACCGCGAAUGUCAAUUAGGGAAAAAGAAAGCCUGGAUUUACCGCUGCGGCGCCACUGAUUCUUCGCCGCCAUUUUUUUUCACACCGUGCGAUACACCGACGACGAGUGGAAGAGGAAAAAACGAAUUUUUCAACGCACAGUCUCGCUUUGUUCUCCCAGAGUUCUUCGACGCUUCGAACGUUCCGAUAGCACCACACGAAGAGAGGAAUAAUACGUAAAGCAACGCUGGAUAUAUACAUAAUAGAAACAACAGUGUUAUUGUAUAGUCUCGCCGCUUGAGAGCGCGCCGUUCAUUGGAUAUCGAACGCAAUUCAAUUUAAACGAACGUCAUUAAUGUAAAUUGUCAUUCUCGAUGGUUCAGUGACUUUUUUCUUCCCCCUUUUACAUUUAUUUUCACCCCCGCACCGUGCGAAUUUCUGUAGACCGCGUGUAAAUGUUACAGAAACAAAGACUCCUUACAUAACCUAAAAAUUUUCGCGUCGCACUCAAGCAGGCGUGCAAUCAUUGAAAUAACUGUAAUUAUUGCAAUUAACGUGAUCACUACGACUAAUACUGAGAUUGUGAAUGGUCGUUGAUCAUUGUUGGAUGAUUUACUCGGUGUUUCACACUGUUGUUUUCGACUUCUCGUACAUUUAGUGAGAAAAAAUGUCUAAUUUUGCAAAAAAAAAUGAUAAAAAUAACAACAAAAAACUGAAACAAUGGAAGCUUCGAAAUUCUACGAUUAUGAAAUCGGUAAACGAUUAAUUGUGACACGAAAGCAAAUCGUUCUACGCUUCUCACCCUUCGUCGCCAACGUCUUCUUCCUCCACUUUAUCAUUUUCCUGCGCAUUCUCGUCUUCGGCCAUUUUCGAAAAAUUCAAUGUAAAUUAAAAAAAUGAACGAGAUUGUUCGACGAGUCAAAGAUUCACGAUAAAUCUGAAGAGAUACAUUGAACGAUGGAAAAAACAGGGACGACAGUUUCCUCAAAUCGUUUUUUUUUUUAUUUUUAUUUUAUUUUCUACGUGAAAUAGCGACCGCACGAUUAUUUCUCGUGACUCGGGCUAGUUUGGCACUGGUCAUUUCGCGCGACUGCUUUACUCGAGACUUCGCGUCGUAUCCUCCACACCGGAUAAGGCUUCGGGAAGCCAAAUGCUCAAUGCUAUUUUGCUUUUUAAUGCCCUUAAUGCGAUUAAGGUUUUUUCCUCCUAUUUUUUUUGCUCUCCAUCUCUCUUCCACGAGGAACGUGAUCUCGUAUUUGAAAGACGAAAAAGCCGAUUUCACCGACGCCGCGGACUGGCUUCCUUCGAACUCUUGGCUCGUGCUAAUCCAAAGGAAUUUUUACGAUCUUCGAUCAUAACUACAUUUAAUAACAUUAAUAUUGAAAAAAAUGUCGUCAAAAUAGGCGAUGCAUUGUCGGAGUUUCGUAGCGUGUGCCGAACGACUUCCGGCGAGCGGAAAUUCGCGGUUAGACGUGUGUGUAUGCACAGCGCAAGAGCGCUCGACUCUCGAAAAAUGGCGAGCGCGAGUGCGACAACGGCGACAUGCGACACCGAAAAUAGAUCGAAAAUUGCGGGAACAAUGGCGCAGUAAUUGCUCGAUUUAUUUAUCGUUUUUUUCCCCCAAGAACCGAAGCGACGAGUAAAUCAAAUCGAGAGAAACGAGUCGUUUCGUAUUUCGUUAUUUUCUCGUGAUAAAUGCCUUUCAAGCGGGAUAAAAAUAUGAUCGCGGAUAAUUGGUUCGUUUGACAAUACGAAAAUAUCCAUAAAUAUACUUGAAUUGUAAGAGCCCGAGGGAAACGAGGCCCUCGAAAAGUUCGUCUCAUCCAGCACGAGGAAGCUCGUAAUGCUCGUAAUGUAUGGGGUAUUGUCUCAAGAAGGGAAGAUUGUCAUCUCGUCUGGAAAAUGCGAGCACAGAGUACAUGCCUGGAGCGAGCGCCACGGAGAACUAUGUCACUAAAGUAUAAUAAGCGUCACUCUGCUCCCCCCCCCCCCCUCCCUCCGCGCCUCGCUCCUUUCUUCGACUUCGACUGCUUUUGUGUGUGUACGAUUCAAAGUUUUUCCAUUAAAAACAACUUCGAACAAUAACGUCUCAUUUAAA